GUGAAUCAUCGAAUUUUUGAACGCAAAUUGCACUCUCUUCGGAGAGUAUGCCUGUUUGAGGGUCAGCCUAAAAAAAAAUCGACAUAGUCGCUGUUUCGCGGUGACAUUCGGCGGAAAUUGGGUCAUCUUAUACCUUGUGGUUUUAAUCUGCUUAAAAUUUUCUUUACGAUUCCACGAUCGUUUCUAAGAUUUUACUUCUUACACGUUUAAUUUAUCGAUCUUUAUUAGACGUGGCCGUGGCAUCGUAGCACUUCCAUAA
rnacentral:misc_RNA from 1 species